UCCCUUAUAGCUCAGUCAGUAAAGACUCUGCCUGCAGUGCAGAAGACCUGGGUUCGACUCCUGGGUUGGGAA
rnacentral:tRNA from 1 species